AGCGAACGCUGGCGGCGUGCUUAACACAUGCAAGUCGAACGGACCCAGUUGGCAACUUCUGGGUUAGUGGCGAACGGGUGAGUAACACGUGGGUAAUCUCCCCCCGAGUGAGGGAUAAGCUUGCGAAAGCGGGUCUAAUACCGCAUGAAACUCCGGGGCCUCAGUCUUCGGAGUCAAAGCCGUAAGGCGCUUGGGGAUGAGCCUGCGUCCUAUUAGCUAGUUGGUAGGGUAAUGGCGUACCAAGGCGAUGAUGGGUAGCCGGCCUGAGAGGGUGAUCGGCCGCACUGGAACUGAGACACGGUCCAGACUCCUACGGGAGGCAGCAGUGAGGAAUUUUGCGCAAUGGGCGAAAGCCUGACGCAGCGACGCCGCGUGGAGGAAGACGGCCUUCGGGUUGUAAACUCCUGUCAGAGGUGAAGAAUGCCCGCAAGGGCUUGACGGUAACCUCAGAGGAAGCCCCGGCUAACUACGUGCCAGCCGCCGCCGUAACAC
rnacentral:rRNA from 1 species